GCUUGCGAAACGGUCUGAAUCGGUUCGUGAUUCAGUACAAUUCGUUCGGAGCGCUCUCACACUGUAAAACAGUAUCGGGAUAUUUACGAAUACAGCGCUGGAUAACGUGUAAAUUUACCUACAGUCAACUGAAACAAAAGUCUGUCUUUUUGAGAGGUAUCUUUGAGAAACUUCAGCUAGUGCUGUGUCAUGUGAACAAGGGGCUGUUCAAACUGAACACGUUUUUGCGUCCGCUCGCGCUGUUUUUCCAAUCGUUUUACUUGUAAACAUUAGCUAGAUGGACGUCUUUUGACAACUGCGUCACGUUUCACUGUGUUAUGAGCAUUUCUCACAGGAGCGCUGCAUUUAUAAACGCUGUGUCACGUUAAAAAAAAUUCUUCAACUGAUAAAAACAUGUCUCGAGACACCUGCGUUCUGCUCUAUUAGUUGUGGCGCGUUUUGCUUUUUUACGGGGGAGCAACCCGACCCGGGCCCGACGGGAUCGAGAUUCCGAGAGGUUUCGGAUCAAGUUCAGAGCUGACUCUGAACUGACGGUGGCUCUGCAGACAGAGCGGACUUAAGCGGUGCGGAGUUAACCGGUGUCUUCACGUGCUUAAUUUUCCCCGUUGCCUACAAAUUCCUCACCCAAAUGAGAGCCGUGAAUCAGUGAACAUGGCCGGCGUUCCUUGGUAUGGUCACAAGGAGAAGGGGCUUAAAGAUGAUUCCCACACCCAGAGUAAUUCGACAAGAAGUGACCUCAGCAUUUCUAUGUCUUCCAGACAACAGCAUAAAUUUGACUUCUUUCAUGACCAGUGCAUACA